AUAGUAUCAUUUGAUAAAACAAAUGAUUUGAAAAUUAUUGGUGAAAAUUUCAUUAUUUUUGGACUUAUAUUUUUGAAGUUAUGAAGGUUUGAAGUGCAUGAGUCGACUCAUGAGUCAACUCAUGGCACUGUGAGCUGAUUGGCACGCAAAAAUUCUCCUUGGCACGCUAGUUUUCUGGCUUGGCACGACCUGUGAGUCGACUCAU
rnacentral:lncRNA from 1 species